UACGUAGGGGGCGAGCGUUAUCCGGAAUACUGGGCGUAAAGCGCACGCAGGCGGUUCGCCAAGUUUGGAGUGACAGUUGUCGGCUCAACCGACAAAGGACUUCAAAAACUGGUGAACUUGAGGACGAGAGAGGAACAUGGAACUCCAGGUGUAGUAGUGAAAUGCGUAGAUAUCUGGAAGAACACCAAUGGCGAAGGCAAUGUUCUGGCUCGUUUCUGACGCUCAGGGUGGCGAAAGCCAGGGGA
rnacentral:rRNA from 1 species